AACGAACGCUGGCGGCAUGCCUAACACAUGCAAGUCGAACGAGACCUUCGGGUCUAGUGUCGCACGGGUGCGUAACGCGUGGGAACCUGCCCUUAGGUUCGGAAUAACUCCCCGAAAGGGGUGCUAAUACCGGAUAAUGUCUUCGGACCAAAGAUUUAUCGCCUUUGGAUGGGCCCGCGUUGGAUUAGCUAGUUGGUAGGGUAAAAGCCUACCAAGGCGACGAUCCAUAGCUGGUCUGAGAGGAUGAUCAGCCACACUGGGACUGAGACACGGCCCAGACUCCUACGGGAGGAAGCAGUGGGGAAUAUUGGAAAAUGGGCGAAAGCCUGAUCCAGCAAUGCCGCGUGAGUGAUGAAGGCAUUAGGGUUGUAAAGCUCUUUUAACCGGGAUGAUAAUGACAGUACCGGGAGAAUAAGCCCCGGCUAACUCCGUG
rnacentral:rRNA from 1 species